GACAGAGGGUGCAAACGUUGUUCGGAAUUACUGGGCGUAAAGCGAGUGUAGGCGGUUCGAUAAGUCGGAUGUGAAAGCCCCGGGCUCAACCCGGGAAGUGCACUCGAUACUGUCGAGCUAGAGUAUCGGAGAGGUUGGUGGAAUUCUCGGUGUAGAGGUGAAAUUCGUAGAUAUCGAGAGGAACACCGGUGGCGAAGGCGGCCAACCUGGACGAAUACUGACGCUGGAGGAGCGAAAGCCGUGGGGAGCGAACAGG
rnacentral:rRNA from 1 species